rnacentral:rRNA from 1 species
CUUUCGGGGGGCAAGUAGAGUAGCAGACGGGUGAGUAAUGCAUAGGUAAUCUGCCCUUGAGUGGGGGACAACUUACCGAAAGGUGAGCUAAUCCCGCAUGACAUUCAGUUGCUUAAGUAGCUGAAUUAAAGAGGGGGAUCCUUCGGGACCUCUUGCUUGAGGAUGAGCUUAUGUCCUAUUAGCUUGUUGGUAGGGUAAUGGCCUACCAAGGCUCUGAUGGGUAGCCGAGCUGAGAGGCUGAUCGGCCACACUGGAACUGAGACACGGUCCAGACUCCUACGGGAGGCAGCAGUGGGGAAUUUUGCGCAAUGGGCGAAAGCCUGACGCAGCGACGCCGCGUGAGGGAUGAAGGUCUUCGUGAUCGUAAACCUCUGUCAGGAAGGAUUAAAUGUACAAGUGCCAAUACCAUUGUGCUUGACUUAACUUCCAAAGGAAGCCCCGGCUAACUACGUGCCAGCAGCCGCGGUAAUACGUAGGGGGCUAGCGUUACUCGGAUUUAUUGGGCGUAAAGCGAAUGUAGGCGGUCUUGUAAGUCAGGGGUGAAAUCCCUCAGCUCAACUGAGGAAGUGCCCUUGAUACUGUAGGACUGGAGGACAGGAGAGGAAAGUGGAAUUCCCGGUGUAGCGGUGGAAUGCGUAGAUAUCGGGAGGAACACCAGAGGCGAAGGCGGCUUUCUGGACUGAUCCUGACGCUGAGAUUCGAAAGCCAGGGGAGCAAACAGGAUUAGAUACCCUGGUAGUCCUGGCUGUAAACGAUGGAUACUAGAUCUUGCAUAGAUUUGCUUGGUCGUAGCUAACGCGUUAAGUAUCCCGCCUGGGGAGUACGGUCGCAAGGCUGAAACUCAAGGGAAUUGACGGGGACCCGCACAAGCAGUGGAGCAUGUGGUUUAAUUCGAUCCAACGCGAAGAACCUUACCUGAGCUUGAACUACGGGCAUUAGCUACCUGAAAGGGAUAGUGAUCCUUCUUUGAAGGAACCUGUAGAGGUGCUGCAUGGCUGUCGUCAGCUCGUGUCGUGAGAUGUUGGGUUAAGUCCCGCAACGAGCGCAACCCUUACUAUUAGUUGUCAGCGAGUUAAGUCGGAUACUCUAAUGGGACUGCCGGUGACGAGCCGGAGGAAGGUGGGGAUGACGUCAAGUCAGCAUGGCCUUUAUGUUCAGGGCUACACACGUGCUACAAUGGAUGGUACAGAGGGCUGCAAGCCCGCGAGGUGGAGCAA